AGCAGCGUGGCUCAGUGGAAAGAGCACGGACUUGGAAGGCAGAGGUCAUGGGUUCAAAUCCCAGCUCUGCCA
rnacentral:tRNA from 1 species